UCUUCUGAUCUGCAGGAAUAUAUG
rnacentral:piRNA from 1 species